UUUUUUUUUCAUUUGAAUCAGGAAUGCAACUCUAAAUAAUUAAUUAUCAGUGUUUGUUCUUGGUUGUUUUUUCUUAGAUUCAAGUGAAAUGGCUAAGAAAGCUUCUACUCCGAUGAGAAAUAGAGGCUCUUAUGCUAAGAAUCGUUCAAAAAGAAUUAACGAUCAUAGGCGUUCUGCUGAUUAUGUUGAUUCGAAGAGUAAACAAUAAGAAAAAGUGAAAAAGGUUUCUCAAAUGGAGAAACAAAAGAAGAGAAAGGCUGGUGACAAUGUUGCUAAUGUUAAGGGCAAAAAAAUUGCUAAAGCCAAACAUAAUGUGGAUGAUGAUGAUGAUGAUGCAGAGGUAUAUUUAUGUUGUAUUUUCAGUAUAUUUAGUUCGUUUGUUUUUUUUAGUUCAGUUAUUAUAGAUCUGUGAAUUAACCAGAUCUAUAUUUUAUGUGCAUUUUAAGUAUAUUUUCUAUUGUUAUUUUUUUUCACAUGUUUCUUCAGUUAAUUCGUGUUUAUUGUUCUUCACCAUAACUGUAAUUUUUAAGAUUUUUAAGUAUAUUUGUGUAUAUUUUGUUGACAGUUAUUACAGAUCUGUAAUUUACAUAUUCAGUCAAUAUAUGUCAUUAUAUUUUCAGUAUAUUCAUAUAUAUUUAUUGUUGAAUUACAUUAUAUUUUUUCAUUGUCAAUCACUGUUUUGUUUUAUAUUUGUAUAUAUUUUUGGUUGAUCUCUUUUUUACCUGAUUGUGUUCACUGUUUUUUGUCAAUCAUACGUGUUUUUUGGCAUGUUGUUUCAGGUAUCUAAAUUUUUGGUUACCAAGCACCCUGCUGUGGCACCAUCUAUGUGUAGAUACACGAAUGCCUUGUAGAUUUGAGGAAGUUGUGCCAACACCCCAUGAGUUGGAAACUAUUAAUUUGCCUCCUCGUUGCACAUGAUAUACCGUACGUCAAACAUGGGAUUGAUGGUGUACAUGGUGCCGAUUUGGUAGACGAUGAUUACGAUGAUUUUAGUACCACACCACCGCAUCCGUCCAAA